GAUGAACGCUGGCGGCGUGCCUAAUACAUGCAAGUCGAGCGAACAGACGAGGAGCUUGCUCCUCUGACGUUAGCGGCGGACGGGUGAGUAACACGUGGAUCACCUACCUAUAAGACUGGGAUAACUUCGGGAAACCGGAGCUAAUACCGGAUAAUAUAUUGAACCGCAUGGUUCAAUAGUGAAAGACGGUUUUGCUGUCACUUAUAGAUGGAUCCGCGCCGCAUUAGCUAGUUGGUAAGGUAACGGCUUACCAAGGCAACGAUGCGUAGCCGACCUGAGAGGGUGGUCGGCCACACUGGAACUGGGACACGGUCCAGACUCCUACGGGAGGCAGCAGUAGGGAAUCUGCCGCAAUGGGCGAAAGCCUGACGGAGCAACGCCGCGUGAGUGAUGAAGGUCUUCGGAUCGUAAAACUCUGUUAUUAGGGAAGAACAAAUGUGUAAGUAACUAUGCACGUCUUGACGGUAACUAAUCAGAAAGCCACGGCUAACUACGUG
rnacentral:rRNA from 1 species